rnacentral:tRNA from 1 species
GCCCGAGUGGCGGAAUGGUAGACGCAGGGGAUUCAAAAUCCCCCGAUUGAAAUAUAUCGUGGGGGUUCAAGUCCCCCCUCGGGCACCA